GACGAACGCUGGCGGCGUGCUUAACACAUGCAAGUCGAACGGAAAGGCCCUGCUUUUGUGGGUUGCUCGAGUGGCGAACGGGUGAGUAACACGUGAGUAACCUGCCCUUGACUUUGGGAUAACUUCAGGAAACUGGGGCUAAUAUCGGAUAGGAGCUCCUGCUGCAUGGUGGGGGUUGGAAAGUUUCGGCGGUUGGGGAUGGACUCGCGGCUUAUCAGCUGGUUGGUGGGGUAGUGGCUUACCAAGGCUUUGACGGGUAGCCGGCCUGAGAGGGUGACCGGCCACAUUGGGACUGAGAUACGGCCCAGACUCCUACGGGAGGCAGCAGUGGGGAAUAUUGCACAAUGGGCGGAAGCCUGAUGCAGAAACGCCGCGUGCGGGAUGACGGCCUUCGGGUUGUAAACCGCUUUCGCCUGCGACGAAGCGUGAGUGACGGUAAUGGGUAAAGAAGCACCGGCUAACUACGUG
rnacentral:rRNA from 1 species